UGAAUGAUGAGCGCCAUCCGAUACUGAGGGCAUGAUGACCGGAUUCCUGGCUGAU
rnacentral:snoRNA from 16 species